UCGGAAGCGAUAACCGCUGAAAGCAUCUAAGCGGGAAGCGCGCCUCAAGAUGAGAUCUCCCGGGGCACAAGCCCCCUGAAGGAACCAUGUAGACUACGUGGUUGAUAGGUCAGGUGUGUAAGUACAGCAAUGUAUUGAGCUAACUGAUACUAAUGAUCCGUGCGGCUUGACCAUAUAACCUCA
rnacentral:rRNA from 1 species